rnacentral:rRNA from 1 species
GCGGGAAUUCGAUUCAGGCCUAACACAUGCAAGUCGAACGAUGAAGCCCUUCGGGGUGGAUUAGUGGCGAACGGGUGAGUAACACGUGGGCAAUCUGCCCUGCACUCUGGGACAAGCCCUGGAAACGGGGUCUAAUACCGGAUAUGACCAUCUUGGGCAUCCUUGAUGGUGUAAAGCUCCGGCGGUGCAGGAUGAGCCCGCGGCCUAUCAGCUUGUUGGUGAGGUAAUGGCUCACCAAGGCGACGACGGGUAGCCGGCCUGAGAGGGCGACCGGCCACACUGGGACUGAGACACGGCCCAGACUCCUACGGGAGGCAGCAGUGGGGAAUAUUGCACAAUGGGCGAAAGCCUGAUGCAGCGACGCCGCGUGAGGGAUGACGGCCUUCGGGUUGUAAACCUCUUUCAGCAGGGAAGAAGCGAAAGUGACGGUACCUGCAGAAGAAGCGCCGGCUAACUACGUGCCAGCAGCCGCGGUAAUACGUAGGGCGCAAGCGUUGUCCGGAAUUAUUGGGCGUAAAGAGCUCGUAGGCGGCUUGUCACGUCGAUUGUGAAAGCUCGGGGCUUAACCCCGAGUCUGCAGUCGAUACGGGCUAGCUAGAGUGUGGUAGGGGAGAUCGGAAUUCCUGGUGUAGCGGUGAAAUGCGCAGAUAUCAGGAGGAACACCGGUGGCGAAGGCGGAUCUCUGGGCCAUUACUGACGCUGAGGAGCGAAAGCGUGGGGAGCGAACAGGAUUAGAUACCCUGGUAGUC